GGGGAUAUAGCUCAGUUGGGAGAGCGCUGCGUUCGCAAUGCAGAGGUCGAGGGUUCGAAUCCCUCCAGCUCCACCA
rnacentral:tRNA from 1 species